GUGGGACUCCACAUACUAGCCCAACUCAAGCAGGGGAAGGAGAGGAAUACCAACUGAGCCAAUCAUUCCGGGGGACAGCAAGUGGGCUGCCAGCCAGCCUUCCUUGUGCGGCUGGGCCUGGGAACCCUGUGGGAUGUACACAGCUCAGGCUGGAGCUGGCUCUUCCUGAGACUCUGCUUCACCCCAUCUCCUGUUCUCUCUCUCCACUAGAAGAGGACCUAUUCCAUCAUUAGUGCAAUUCUGCAGCCCCACCCUGACCCACCUGAGACCUUGAAGGAGGAACUCGGCUAUACUCUCACUCCAGGAUUCCCUGAGCUCCACCUAAUGCUUGACUGUGGAUCUCUGAGACUGAAUCAACAAUCAGUACAAUACACCUGUCUACAGGUCAUGUUCAUGAGGCUGACAAAGACACUGAAAACUCUCCUGAGGUCACCAAUGCUGCCAAUCCAAGAAAGCAUUCAGGAUGUCACCACGGCCCUCCACAGCUGUAUCUCAGAUGAUACCCACCACAUUUGAUAUCUUUAAAUGGUUCCAAAGUCUAGC
rnacentral:lncRNA from 1 species